GCCCCCGUAGCCAAGCCCGGCAAGGCAUCGGACUUUUAAUCCGCAGAUCGUGGGUUCGAAUCCCACCGGGGGCACCA
rnacentral:tRNA from 1 species